AUUUCUGUCCUGUGAAUCUCGUCUAGAAUUCUCGGACUCCUUCCUCUUGAUAUUACAUUUUUUCCAAAUUGAAGAUUUCUGACAACCCUGUAUUGAGCAAGUCUAUUUGCAUCAUUUUUACAAUAGCAUGUGCUCACUUUGUGUUUUCUGUGUCACAUUUUGGUAAUUUUAAUAAUAUUUCAAAUGUUUUCAUUAUUGCUAUAUUUGUUAUGGUGAUCUGUGAUCAGUAGUCUUUGAUGUUACUGUUGUAAUUAUUUUGUGGUCCCAUAACUACAGCCAUAUAAGACACCAAACAUAACCAACACAGAGCUAUGAUGGAGUUGUACAAGGACAUUUAUCUUCUUUUCCUUUUUUUUUUUUUUUUUGAGACAGUCUCGCUCUGUCACCUGGCUGGAGUGCAGUGGCGCGAUCUCAGCUCACUGCAACCUCCACCCCCUGAGUUCAAGCGAUUAUUCUGCCUCAGACUCCCAAGUAGCUGAGAUUACAGGUGCCUGCCAUCAUACCUGGCUAAUUUUUGUAUUUUUAGUAGAGGCGGGGUUUCACCAUGUUGGCCAGGCUGGUCUCAAACUCCCGACCUAAAAUGAUCCACCCACCUCAGACUCCCAAACUGCUGGGAUUACAGGCAUGAGCCCAGCUGAUUAAUCUUAUUUUCAUGCCUGCUAACACAACGUCCAUUGUGAAGCCCAUGAAUCAAGGAGUAAUUUUGUUUUAAAUUCUUAUUAUUUAAUAAAUACAUUUUCCAAGGCUAUGGCUACCAGAGAAUACUGAUUCUUCUGAAGGAUCUGGGCCAUGUCCUUUGAAAUAUUUUGGGAAAGGGUUCAACAUUCUUGAUGUCAGUAAGGAUAUUUGUGACUCAUUGGACAAGGUCAAAUUAUCAACACUAACAGUAGUUUUGAAGAAGUUGUUUCCAGUCCUCAUGGAUUCCUUUGAGGUAUUCAAGACUUCCGUGUAGGAAGCAGCUGCAGGUGUGGUGAACAUAAAAAGAGAAUUAAAAUUAGAAGAGGAGCCUGAAGAUAGGACCGAACUGCUGUCAUCUCAUGAUUAAAUUUGAAUAGAUAAAGAGUUGCUUUUGAUAGGUAAGCCAAGAAAGUGUUUUUGAGAUGAUGUUUGCUUCUGAUGAAGAUGCUGUGUCUCUCUGACCUUCAGCAACCACCACUCUGAUCAUUCAGCAGCUGUCACACUGAGGAAAGACUCUCCACCAACAAAAAGAUUACAACUUGCUGAAGACUCAAAUGAUUGCUGUCAUUUUCUAGUAGUAAAGUAUUUUUAAUUAAGGUAUGUGCAUUGGUUGUUUUAGACGUAAUAUUAUUGCACACUUAAUAAAAUACAAUGCAAUGUAAAUGGCUUUUUUUGUUUUGUUUUUUGUUUUUUAUUUUUUAUUUUAUUUUAUUUCAUUAUACUUUAAGUUCUAGGGUACAUGUGCACAACGUGCAGUUUUGUUAUGUAUGUAUACAUGUGCCAUGUUGGUGUGCUGCACUCAUUAACUUGUCAUUAGCAUUAGGUAUAUCUCCUAAUGCUCUCCCUUCCCACAUCCCCACCCCACCACAGGCCCCAGUGUGUGAUGUUCCCCUUUCUGUGUCCAAGUGUUCUCAUUGUUCAAUUCCCACCUGUAAGUGAGAACAUGCGGUGUUUGGUUUCUUGUCCUUGCGAUAGUUUGCUCAUAAUGAUUGUUUCCAGCUUCAUCUACGUCCCUACAAAGGACAUGAACUCAUCCUUUUUUAUGGCUGCAUAGAAUUCCAUGGUGUAUAUGUGCCACAUUUUUUUUAAUCCAGUCUAUCAUUGAUGGACAUCUGGGUUGGUUCAAAGUCUUUGUUAUUGCUCAAGGAUCUAGAACUAGAAAUACCAUUUGACCCAGCCAUCCCAUUACGGGGUAUAUACCCAAAGGAUUAUAAAUCAUGCUGCUAUAAAGACACGUGCACACAUAUGUAAACAGCUUUUUAUGUGUACUGGGAAACCAAAAAAAAACUUGUGUGCCUUGCUGUAUUGUCAUUUUCAUUUUAUUGUGGUGGUUUGGAAUCGAACCCUCAAUAUAUACGAAUAAUGCCUGCAACUGUAUUCUGACUUUAUUUUUUUCACCUUUAUAUUCCUGUAUAAUAUCCUUGAUAUUCCCAUAUAAUGUCAGUAAUAAUAAUAAUUAUGCAUAAUAAAU
ensembl:lncRNA novel transcript